GAUUAACGCUAGCGGCAGGCAUAAUACAUGCAAGUUGAACGGCAGCACAGGUAGCAAUACUGGGUGGCGAGUGGCGCACGGGUGCGUAACACGUAUGCAACCUACCCUAUACAGGCGAAUAACCUUUAGAAAUGAGGGCUAAUACGCCGUAGUAUUACAGAUGGGCAUCUAUUUGUAAUUAAAGAUUUAUCGGUAUAGGAUGGGCAUGCGUCCCAUUAGUUAGUUGGUAAGGUAACGGCUUACCAAGACGAUGAUGGGUAGGGGAUCUGAGAGGACUUACCCCCACACUGGUACUGAGACACGGACCAGACUCCUACGGGAGGCAGCAGUAAGGAAUAUUGGGCAAUGGCCGCGAGGCUGACCCAGCCAUGCCGCGUGCAUGAAGACGGCCUUAUGGGUUGUAAACUGCUUUUAUACGGGAAUAAUAGAGUGUACGCGUACAUUUAUGCAAGUAUCGUAUGAAUAAGCAUCGGCUAACUCCGUG
rnacentral:rRNA from 1 species